rnacentral:rRNA from 1 species
GACGAACGCUGGCGGCGUGCUUAACACAUGCAAGUCGAGCGGUAAGGGCCCUUUCGGGGGUACACGAGCGGCGAACGGGUGAGUAACACGUGGGUGACCUGCCCUCAGCUCUGGGGAUAAGCCUGGGAAAGCUGGGUCUAAUACUGGAUAUGACUCCACGGUGCAUGUCGUGGGGUGGAAAGCCUUGUGCGGCUGAGGAUGGGCCCGCGGCCUAUCAGCUUGUUGGUGGGGUGAUGGCCUACCAAGGCGACGACGGGUAGCCGG